rnacentral:lncRNA from 15 species
GAGAGAAGAGGUUCAACGAGCGUCUUUCAAGAUUUGUCAUCUAAAAUUAACAUGGGAGUAGAUGGGGCCGUGAGAGGGCGUUGCUGGGCGCAUCAGUGCGUCUCCCGCCAAAACUAUUUGUCUGACAGCUUCAGCAGUAGUAUCACUGCGACCCCAACGAAUUUACCUACGUUUCUAUCUAUAAAUUAUUUCGGUAGUGAAAUUUGUGGCCAUGACAGCAGUUUACAAAUUUAUUUUUCGACAAAUUUUUCUCUCUCCCCACACUCUAGCGAUGAUGUCACGCACUCUGGCAGUUUUUUUCAGUUGGAGGUUCUCGCAAUACACACCCAUUCAUUUUUUGGACCGGUUUUUGGCGAUUUAUCGGCGAACCGUUUGGCGAAAUUCUUAGAAAAGUCAUAGCACUAAUGUCCUCAACGAGCCGCACGUUCUGAUACCUUUUUUGUGUACGUGCGAUCAAAGCUCUGGGAGAAGAAGCGCGCCGAAAAAGUGUACGGAAGAAUAAAAUAUUAUAACUAGAAAAUUCCUAAAGCAAUUUUGAUUGUGCCUUGCUCUGGCCCAUAUGUUAAUACCAUGUCUACGUGCUAACCGCUAGCUCUGCGCUAAUCGCUAGCUAAGUGCUAACCGCUAAUCGCUAGCUAAGUGCUAGCUUUGGUUAAUGUGUUUAAUUGUAUUAUGCUCCUGAAGGAGUGCUAAUGUAAAUUAAGGAACAGCUCAUAGUAGGGUAAAAUAUUUAAGGUGUAUUGAACUUAUUUUGUGUUAAUAUUAAAAUCAUUCAGCUUUAAAUUGUUUGUUUGUUAGCCACCUGCUAAUUAUCUUUAGCUAGCCAGCUAGCGCUAGCUUAUUAAUGCUUGUCAUUCUCUGUAGCUAGCUGUGUGUGUGUGUGUGUGUGUGUGUGUGUGUGUGAGCAGGCUUUGGUUGUCAUGGCAAUCAGGGGAGCCCACAGCAGCUGCGCACGCUCUCUCUCUGUCUCUAACUCCUCAGAGAGACAGAAAACAUUUAAAAUGAAUCCCCUAAAAAGCAUGGCCAGGAACGACCGAAAUGAAUUCCGAAAAGACCGUGAGCGUCGUCAUCUUGUUGACUAUAGCGCUGCCGAGUUUCAGUGGCUAAAGUUAAAAAAUGUGACCUGGACAGAUUGAGAGAGAAGAGGUUCAACAAGCUCCUUUAAACAUUCCUCCUCUAAAAUUAACAUGGGAGUAGAUGGGGCCGUGAGAGGGUGUUGCUGGCGCAUCAGUGCGUUUCCCGCCAAAACUAUUUGUCUGACAGCUUCAGCAGUAGUAUCACUGCGACCCCAACGGAUUUACCUACGUUUCUAUCUAUAAAUUAUUUCUGUAGAGUGAAAUUUGUGGCCAUGACAGCAGUUUACAAAUUUAUUUUUCGACAAAUUUUUCUCUCUCCCCACACUCUAGCGAUGAUGUCACGCACUCUGGCGGUUUUUUUCAGUUGGAGGUUCUCGCAAUACACACCCAUUCAUUUUUUGGACCGGUUUUUGGCGAUUUAUCGGCGAACCGUUUGGCGAAAUUCUUAGAAAAGUCAUAGCACUAAUGUCCUCAUCGAGCCGCACGUUUUGAUACCUUUUUUGUGUAUGUGCGACAAAAGCUCUGGGAGAAGAAGCGCGCCGAAAAACGUACGGAAGAAUAAUAAUAAGUUUAACUAGAAAAUUCCUAAAGCAAUUUUGAUUGUGCCUUGCUCUGGCCCAUAUGUUAAUACCAUGUCUACGUGCUAACCGCUAAUCGCUAGCUGUGCGCUAAUUACCUUUUAUUAAUGCCAUGUAAUCCUCCCUAUAGCAUAUUGAUAACCUGUCAUCCUCCUUAGCUUGCGCUAGCAUAUUAAUAUCAUGUCAUUCUCUUUAGCUAGCUAGCUAAAGCUAGCACACAUAAACACAUAAACCAAAGCUAGCGCUUAGCUACGUGCUAAUCGCUAGCUAACUGCUAAUCGCUAGCUAACUGCUAAUCGCUAGCUACGUGCUAAUCUCUAGCUAACUGCUUAUCGCUAGCUACAUGCUAAUCGCUAGCUACAUGCUAAUCGCUAGCUAAGCGCUAAUCGCUAGCUAAGUGCUAGCUUUGGUUAAUGUGUUUAAUUGUAUUAUGCUCCUGAAGGAGUGCUAAUGUAAAUUAAGGAACAGCUCAUAGUAGGGUAAAAUAUUUAAGGUGUAUUGUUCUUAUUUUGUGUUAAUAUUAAAAUCAUUCAGCUUUAAAUUGUUUGCUUGUUAGCCACCUGCUAAUUAUCUUUAGCUAGCCAGCUAGCGCUAGCUUAUUAAUGUCUUGUCAUUCUCUGUAGCUAGCUGUGUGUGUGUGUGUGUGUGAGCAGGCUUUAGUUGUCAUGGCAAUCAGGGGAGCCCACAGCAGCUGCGCACGCUCUCUCUCUGUCUCUAACUCCUCAGAGAGACAGAAACAUUUAAAAUGAAUCCCCUCAAAAGCAUGGCCAGGAACGACCGAAAUGAAAACCGAAAAGACCGUGAGCGUCGUCAUCUUGUUGACUAUAGCCCUGCCGAGUUUCAGUGGUUAAAGUUAAAAAAUGUGACCUGGGGAGAUUGAGAGAGAAGAGGUUCAACGAGCGUCUUUCAAGGUUCCUCCUCUCCAUUUUAAUAUGGGAGUAGAUGGGGCAGUGAGAGGGAGUUGCUGGCGCAUCAGUGCGUUUCCCGCCAAAACUAUUUGUCUGACAGCUUCAGCAGUGGUAUCACUGCGACCCCAACGAAUUUACCUACGUUUCUAUCUAUAAAUUAUUUCUGUAGAGUGAAAUUUGUGGCCAUGACAGCAGUUUACAAAUUUAUUUUUCGACAAAUUUUUCUCUCUCCCCACACUCUAGCGAUGAUGUCACGCACUCUGGCAGUUUUUUUCAGUUGGAGGUUCUCGCAAUACACACCCAUUCAUUUUUUGGACCGGUUUUUGGCGAUCUGUCGGCAAACCGUUUGGCGGAAUUCUUAGAAAAGUCAUAGCACUAAUGUCCUCAUCGAGCCGCACGUUUUGAUACCUUUUUUGUGUAUGUGCGACAAAAGCUGCGGGAGGAGUAGUGCGCCGGAAAAGCGUACGGAAGAAUAAUAAGCACGGGGAAGAGUAGUAUUGUGCAAGCAAGGCACAAUAAUAAGAAAGUUAGUUACAAAGUUACAAAUAAACACAACAUCACCUCUGAAAAACAUUGUUGCACCCUGAAGGC